AUAUUCCUUUGGUUCAUAUUGGAAAAUGGAAAAUGGAAAAUGGAAAAAGAAAAUAACGAAAUAUUACAUUGCUCCAACUGCCUCUAAGUUCUUUCUUUUCCCAUGCCCAGAAAAACCCUAGGCUAAAUCCCCAAAUCCACAACGAGAAAGCUUUCAUCUUCGAUUUCGCGCUGCCGCGGAUGAGAAACCACAUUUUUUCGCUGCCGAUUCUUGCUUAGAAUGGUUUAUAUCUAUUUAUCUUUCGCCUCAUUUUUAUUUCUUUCUCCACCGCAAUUUCGCGCUGCCGCAGAUGAGAAGCCACAAUUUUUCGGUGUCGAUUUUUGCUUUGAAUGGCUGAGCUGUUAAUAAUUAUACUAAGGAGACUUCCAGAAGAUAUCACUAUACACAAUGAGGAUUUAGAAGAACUUGCCUUGCUCCACUCGAGAGGCUGAAGUUGGAGUAUAUAGUUUAUGGCGAGAAGUGGGACUUGUACAUGCUCAUCAAAAGAAUAGCAACACAAGGCUUGACAGGCUUUUAGAAGGGAAUUUGUUUAACAUACUGCGUACUGCACCUUUCAAGGCAAUUAAUUUUUGUGCUUAUGAUACACAUAGGAAGCAGCUUCUAAAAUUAUUCGGAAAUGAGGAAACCACGAAUUCUGAGAUAUUGAUUGCGGGUGUUGCAGCUGGUAUCAUGCUUUGCCCCUGGAUACUGUCUUUCAAGAAAUUUGAACUACAUACUCGUGUAUAUUUGGUGCGAAAUGGAUUGAAAGGACAGGCUAGGAAGAACGAACUUGGAACGAAAGACUUGGACAAUGCAAGGUGAGCAUCAAAGUGUGCGGUUGACCUUGAAACUGGAGAGGACAUGCAACAAGACAAUGAGGAAACUCCUUAUUUUUUGUGACGCGCUUAAAUGGUGCAAAUGCUCUCCGACUGCCAAAACAAACAAUCCAUAUUUGCUAAUGUUUCGGUCUAUCUGUAAUUUUUUGUUAGCAAUAGCACUAUUGUCAUUCUUAAAUUUUGUAUUGUACCUUCAUUGUUCAAUUGCUUUGCUGCUUCAAAUUUUGAGUAGUUGGUGUAAAUGUUGCAAGGAUGCCUAAUGUGUGUAGCCACUAUUUUUUGGGAAUUUCAUAUUUCUGUAUUUACAUUGUUUGGAUGA